AACGAACGCUGGCAGCAUGCCUAACACAUGCAAGUCGAACGAGACCUUCGGGUCUAGUGGCGCACGGGUGCGUAACGCGUGGGAACCUGCCCUUAGGUUCGGAAUAACUCCCCGAAAGGGGUGCUAAUACCGGAUAAUGUCUUCGGACCAAAGAUUUAUCGCCUUUGGAUGGGCCCGCGUUGGAUUAGCUAGUUGGUAGGGUAAAAGCCUACCAAGGCGACGAUCCAUAGCUGGUCUGAGAGGAUGAUCAGCCACACUGGGACUGAGACACGGCCCAGACCCCUAGGGGGGGGAGCGGGGGGGAAGAUGGGAAAGUGGGCGAAGGCCGAAACAAGAAAAGCCGGGGAAGGGAUAAAGGCCUUAGGGUUGUAAACCUCUUUUACCCGGAGAGAUAAAAGAAGACCCGGGAGAAUAAGCCCCGGCUAACUCCGG
rnacentral:rRNA from 1 species